UUCUAUCAAGUGUCAUUGCCUUGGUUUUUUGUGAUACUAUAUCCGUGCCUACAUAUUCUUCAUCUUCAAUAAUUUCAUAUAAGUUUUUAUCUCCACCGAACUGAACGCCAGUAUCAACAUGUGAAAAGUUUACAGGUGAUUCAUGAUUGCUCAACCUAUCAGCGACACCAUAUUCAUUCCCCAAAUAUUUGCCUUUUUGCCCUUUAUCAAGACAAUCAAGUUUCGACCCACACGGACAAGACGCACCAGAUGUGUACUUCUCUACAUAGGCUUCAAUCAUUUUGAACUUCGUGUCCACCAAAUCUUGAAGGC
rnacentral:lncRNA from 1 species